rnacentral:tRNA from 23 species
GGCCCGUUGGUCAAGUGGUUAAGACACCGCCCUUUCACGGCGGUAUCACGGGUUCGAAUCCCGUACGGGUCACCA